GCUACAUGCAGUCGAGGGGCAGCACAAGUGUAGCAAUACUCUGGUGGCGACCGGCGCACGGGCGAUUAUCGCGUAUGCAACCUACCUUCCACAGGGGGAUAGCCUUCCGAUAGGGAGAUUAAUACCGCAUGAAACAGGGGCCCCGCAUGGGGAUAUUUGUUAAAGAUUUAUCGGUGGAAGAUGGGCAUGCGUUCCAUUAGCUAGUUGGGGGGGUAACGGCCCACCAAGGCAACGAUGGAUAGGGGAACUGAGAGGUUUAUCCCCCACACUGGGACUGAGACACGGACCAGACUCCUACGGGAGGCAGCAGUAAGGAAUAUUGGUCAAUGGGCGGAAGCCUGAACCAGCCAUGCCGCGUGCAGGAUGACUGCCCUAUGGGUUGUAAACUGCUUUUGUCCAGGAAUAAACCUAAAUACGUGUAUUAGCUGAAUGUACUGGAAGAAUAAGGAUCGGCUAACUCCGUGCCAGCAGCCGCGGUAAUACGGAGGAUCCGAGCGUUAUCCGGAUUUAUUGGGUUUAAAGGGUGCGUAGGCGGCCUAUUAAGUCAGGGGUGAAAUACGGUGGCUCAACCAUCGCAGUGCCUUUGAUACUGAUGGGCUUGAAUCCAUUUGAAGUGGGCGGAAUAAGACAAGUAGCGGUGAAAUGCAUAGAUAUGUCUUAGAACUCCGAUUGCGAAGGCAGCUCACUAAGCUGGUAUUGACGCUGAUGCACGAAAGCGUGGGGAUCGAACAGGAUUAGAUACCCUGGUAGUCCACGCCCUAAACGAUGAUAACUCGAUGUUGGCGAUAGACAGCCAGCGUCCCAGCGAAAGCGGUAAGUUAUCCACCUGGGGAGUACGCCCGCAAGGGUGAAA
rnacentral:rRNA from 1 species